rnacentral:rRNA from 1 species
AUUGAACGCUGGCGGCAUGCCUUACACAUGCAAGUCGAACGGCAGCACGGUUGCUUGCACCUGGUGGCGAGUGGCGGACGGGUGAGUAAUACAUCUGAACAUGUCCUUUAGUUGGGGAUAGCCCUGCGAAAGCCGGAUUAAUACCGCAUACGAUCUACGGCUGAAAGCGGGGGCCCUUCGGGCCUCGCGCUAUCGGGUUGGCCGAUGGCUGAUUCGCUAGUUGGUGGGGUAAAGGCCUAACAAGGCGACGAUCAGGAUCUGGUCUGAGAGGGCGACCAGCCACAACUGGAACGAGAACAGGCCCAGAAUCCCUAGGGAGGGAGCAGUGGGGAAGUUUGGACAAUGGGCGAAAGGCUGAUCCAGCAAUGCCGGGUGGGUGAAGAAGGCCUUCGGGUUGUAAAGCACUUUUGUCCGGAAAGAAAUAGCUGGACCUAAUACGGUCGGGGGGAUGACGGUACCGGAAGAAUAAGCACCGGCUAACUACGUG